GACGAACGCUGGCGGCGUGCUUAACACAUGCGAGUCGAACGGAAAGGCCUCUUUCGGGGGGUACUCGAGUGGCGAACGGGUGAGUAACACGUGAGUAACCUGCCCUUGACUUUGGGAUAACUUCAGGAAACUGGGGCUAAUACCGGAUAGGAGCUCCUGCUGCAUGGUGGGGGUUGGAAAGUUUCGGCGGUUGGGGAUGGACUCGCGGCUUAUCAGCUUGUUGGUGGGGUAGUGGCUUACCAAGGCUUUGACGGGUAGCCGGCCUGAGAGGGUGACCGGCCACAUUGGGACUGAGAUACGGCCCAGACUCCUACGGGAGGCAGCAGUGGGGAAUAUUGCACAAUGGGUGGAAGCCUGAUGCAGCAACGCCGUGUGCGGGAUGACGGCCUUCGGGUUGUAAACCGCUUUCGCUCAUGACGGAGCUUUGUGUGACGGUAGUGGGUAAAGAAGCACCGGCUAACUACGUG
rnacentral:rRNA from 1 species